CGGCUCCGUCCUGCUAAUGAGCCGCCCAGUUGAUUGGUGAUUUUACGCGUCCUGACCAAUUGUGAGCCUGGAAAGGCGGGGUUUUGACAACUAAAGCCAGGAUGGAUGAGUUAAGAGAGAGGAGGGGUGGGGAAAAAGGUGUCGGAAGCUUCAACGUACAGUAAGCAUCACUGAGAUCGCUCUUUGAAAACAUGUCAACAAAAUUAAAUAUUAACCAAUGACAGAAGGCAUUUUCCCCCUGUCCUUCUCCCUGCCCCCAAGCGGUCUCCAUCCUUCCCGCUUCCCGGAUUAAGAGUGCCCGGCCCCGGACAGAGACUCCACGGCGCACCGCAAAACACCUAGAGCCGCUAAAAUCUCCAAAAUCCGCAGGUGGUCGGUUGGGGGCGCUGACACCAAUAACUGUGUUUUGCAACAAUAACAGGAACAAGAAAAAUCCUGGAGCACGGAAAGCUGGCCCAUUGCAGAACAAGCAUCCCGGACUGUCCGCUACCAGCAGAAUCCACGCCGGUAAAUUUCCAAACCAAACUCCGCAUCGGAAUAAAUGUCCGAGUGCCUUUAAGUGUAAACGUGUUUCUUUUUGUUUGUUGUUUAACGCAACCAUGCAAUUAAAAACAAGUUAUUUUUGUUU